GUAGGUGAACCUGCGGAAGGAUCAUUAUCAUAACGUAUCCACGUAUAAACCAAUCUUUAAUGUGAAAUGUAAUGUAAAAGCCUUUGUUAGUCAGUGAUUGCUAUUUAGUUUCUACUUCUUAUUGAUUAAGGGAACUAGAUGGACUUGGCCUUUAAAAAGCCUAGCAUUGAUUAUCAAAUGUAAUUAUUAAUCAAUUUAUUAACCCAUUGAACCGAUUAACUUAUUAUUAGUUAUUCAUUUCUUUUAUUGU
rnacentral:misc_RNA from 1 species